AUUGAACGCUGGCGGCAUGCCUUACACAUGCAAGUCGAACGGUAACGGGCCUUCGGGUGCCGACGAGUGGCGAACGGGUGAGUAAUGCAUCGGAACGUACCUUUCAGUGGGGGAUAACGUAGCGAAAGUUACGCUAAUACCGCAUAUUCUGUGAGCAGGAAAGCAGGGGAUCGCAAGACCUUGCGCUGAUUGAGCGGCCGAUGUCAGAUUAGCUAGUUGGUGAGGUAAAGGCUCACCAAGGCGACGAUCUGUAGCGGGUCUGAGAGGAUGAUCCGCCACACUGGGACUGAGACACGGCCCAGACUCCUACGGGAGGCAGCAGUGGGGAAUUUUGGACAAUGGGGGCAACCCUGAUCCAGCCAUGCCGCGUGAGUGAAGAAGGCCUUCGGGUUGUAAAGCUCUUUCGGCCGGGAAGAAAUCGCACAGGCUAAUACCUUGUGUGGAUGACGGUACCGGAAUAAGAAGCACCGGCUAACUACGUGCCAGCAGCCGCCGUAACAC
rnacentral:rRNA from 1 species